UACGGGGGGGGCAAGCGUUGUUCGGAAUUACUGGGCGUAAAGGGCUCGUAGGUGGCCAACUAAGUCAGACGUGAAAUCCCUCGGCUUAACCGGGGAACUGCGUCUGAUACUGGAUGGCUUGAGUUCGGGAGAGGGAUGCGGAAUUCCAGGUGUAGCGGUGAAAUGCGUAGAUAUCUGGAGGAACACCGGUGGCGAAGGCGGCAUCCUGGACCGGCAUUGACGCUGAUGAGCGAAAGCUAGGGGAGCAAACAGG
rnacentral:rRNA from 1 species